rnacentral:snRNA from 1 species
AAACUUACCUGGCUGGGGGGCUCUCGUGAUCAUGAAGGCGGGACCCCCAUGGUGAGGCUUGUCCACUGCACUUCGGGACCGGCUGACCUAUGUGGCAGCUUCGAGUUGAAGUUCGCCAACAGCUAAUUUUUGCGUGAGGGGCUGCGUUCGCGCGGCCCCAC